GUCGUGUUAUAGAUUUAGUAUUGGUCUUUCUCAUGUGCCAUAUCAAAUAUAAGAUGUGUUGCAUCAUAUCUAAUACUAUUCUGUCUAUUGUAAUGAGGGUCAUCUUGCUAUCAUAUACCAACAGCUAUUGCCCAUUGAUAGAGAGGAAACUUAAGCAUUCGGUCUCUAAAGGGACAUCGGAGGGUGAAGAAUGAUGUAAAGAACUAUCUAUAGCUCGGUUUUGGAUAAGAAUUUAAAAGUUGUGCAUAAUUAAAACAAAACCCAUUUCAGCAGUCAAUGGAACUUUACCUGACAUUGGAUCUCCUCAUUCUGAAGAAGAUUUACGGCGCCAUCACUGUGUUCAAUCAUGCUCUGGAUUACAGCGGGAUUACAAAGAGUAAAUGCAUCAGAUGCGUUAAAUCGUCUGAUCCGCUGUAAAUUUUGGGAGGGACUUCUGCCUUGGAUUCAUUGUUACUGCUUCAUCCGGGAGAAAUAUUCAUCUUGCCAAGUUGGAGUUAAGGCAGCAGUGCAUGAGAGACUAUUGAAACUGAUGUAAUUAGUUGGAUUUUGAUAUGUGUUAAGUCUGAUUAGGGUGAAAUUUGUAUCUUUUCUUGCUAAUAGAAGGAAGCAUAAUGGAUGAUUAUUUUUAUGCUAUUAGGGGGUUGAUUUAUGAUUCAAUAUAGGAUGUUUGCAUUUUGGAAGUUAACUGCUUCUUUCUAACUUACAUACAAAGUGAUAAAGGAAUUCAAGUUUUAGUUGUUGGAAUA